AACGAACGCUGGCGGCAGGCUUAACACAUGCAAGUCGAACGCCCCGCAAGGGGAGUGGCGCACGGGUGAGUAACGCGUGGGAAGAUGCCCUCCGGUUCGGAAUAACACCGGGAAACUUGUGCUAAUACCGGAUACGAUCUACGGAUGAAAGAUUUAUCGCCGAGGGAGUAGCCCGCGUAGGAUUAGCUAUUUGGUGAGGUAAUGGCUCACCAAGGCGACGAUCCUUAGCUGGUCUGAGAGGAUGAUCAGCCACACUGGGACUCAGACACGGCCCAGACUCCUACGGGAGGCAGCAGUGGGGAAUAUUGGACAAUGGGCGAAAGCCUGAUCCAGCCAUGCCGCGUGAGUGAUGAAGGCCUUAGGGUUGUAAAGCUCUUUCGCCAGGGAAGAGAAUGACGGUACCUGGAAAAGAAGCCUCGGCUAACUCCGUGCCAGCCGCCGCAGUAAGAC
rnacentral:rRNA from 1 species